CGUAGGGUGCAGGCGUUAAUCGGAAUUACUGGGCGUAAAGCGUGCGCAGGCGGUUUGUUAAGACAGGUGUGAAAUCCCCGGGCUUAACCUGGGAACUGCGCUUGUUACUGGCAGACUUGAGUGUGGCAGAGGGGGGUGGAAUUCCAGGUGUAGCAGUGAAAUGCGUAGAGAUCUGGAGGAACACCGAUGGCGAAGGCAGCCCCCUGGGUUAACACUGACGCUCAUGCACGAAAGCGUGGGGAGCAAACAGGAUUAGAUACCCUGGUAGUCCACGCCCUAAACUAUGUCAACUGGUUGUCGGGGAAGCAAUUCCUUGGUAACGAAGCUAACGCGUGAAGUUGACCGCCUGGGGAGUACGGCCGCAAGGUUA
rnacentral:rRNA from 1 species